GACGAACGCUGGCGGCGUGCCUAAUACAUGCAAGUAGAACGCUGAAGAGAGGAGCUUGCUCUUCUUGGAUGAGUUGCGAACGGGUGAGUAACGCGUAGGUAACCUGCCUUGUAGCGGGGGAUAACUAUUGGAAACGAUAGCUAAUACCGCAUAACAAUGGAUGACCCAUGUCAUUUAUUUGAAAGGGGCAAAUGCUCCACUACAAGAUGGACCUGCGUUGUAUUUGCUAGUAGGUGAGGUAACGGCUCACCUAGGCGACGAUACAUAGCCGACCUGAGAGGGUGAUCGGCCACACUGGGACUGAGACACGGCCCAGACUCCUACGGGAGGCAGCAGUAGGGAAUCUUCGGCAAUGGGGGCAACCCUGACCGAGCAACGCCGCGUGAGUGAAGAAGGUUGUCGGAUCGUAAAGCUCUGUUGUAAGUCAAGAACGAGUGUGAGAGUGGAAAGUUCACACUGUGACGGUAGCUUACCAGAAAGGGACGGCUAACUACGUG
rnacentral:rRNA from 1 species